rnacentral:rRNA from 1 species
UACGGGAGGCAGCAGUGGGGAAUAUUGCACAAUGGGCGCAAGCCUGAUGCAGCCAUGCCGCGUGUAUGAAGAAGGCCUUCGGGUUGUAAAGUACUUUCAGUCGUGAGGAAGGUGUUAAGGUUAAUAACCUUAGCAAUUGACGUUAGCGACAGAAGAAGCACCGGCUAACUCCGUGCCAGCAGCCGCGGUAAUACGGAGGGUGCGAGCGUUAAUCGGAAUUACUGGGCGUAAAGGGCACGCAGGCGGUUAAUUAAGUUGGAUGUGAAAUCCCCGGGCUUAACCUGGGAAUGGCAUUCAAGACUGGUUAGCUAGAGUCUUGUAGAGGGGGUAGAAUUCCAUGUGUAGCGGUGAAAUGCGUAGAGAUGUGGAGGAAUACCGGUGGCGAAGGCCGGCCCCUGGACAAAGACUGACGCUCAUGUGCGAAAGCGGUGGGGAGCAAACGAGGAUUAGAUA